GUUGAGAUGGCCGAGUUGGUCUUAAGGCGCCAGAUGAAGGUUCUGGUCCGAAAGGGCGUGGGUUCUAAUCCCACUCUAAACA
rnacentral:tRNA from 1 species